rnacentral:tRNA from 1 species
AGGGGCGUGGCUCAAGUGGUGGAGCAUCUGUCUGGCAAGUGGAAGGCCUUGAGUUCAAAUCCCAGUACCACCA